UAGGGAAUCUUCCACAAUGGACGAAAGUCUGAUGGAGCAACGCCGCGUGAGUGAAGAAGGUUUUCGGAUCGUAAAGCCCUGUUGUUGGUGAAGAAGGAUAGAGGCAGUAACUGGUCUUUAUUUGACGGUAAUCAACCAGAAAGUCACGGCUAACUACGUGCCAC
rnacentral:rRNA from 1 species